ensembl:snRNA U6 U6 spliceosomal RNA
GUGCUCGCUUUGGCAGCAUAUACACUAAAAUUGGAAUGAUACAGAGAAAAUUAGCAUGGUCUCUGUGCAAGGAUGACAUGCAAAUUCAUGAAUAAUCUUAUU